rnacentral:rRNA from 1 species
GGGCCGCUAGGCCCGUAUUUAUUAGAUAACAGACCAAUAUUGUGGUGACUCAUAGUAACUGAUCGAAUCGCAAGGCUAUGCCGCGAUAAAUCAUUCAAGUUUCUGCCCCAUCAGCUGUAGAUGGUAGUGUAUUGGACUACCAUGGCUUUCACGGGUAACGGAGGAUUAGGGUUCGAUUCCGGAGAGGGAGCCUGAGAAACGGCUACCACAUCUAAGGAAGGCAGCAGGCGCGUAAAUUACCCAAUACUGAUUCAGUGAGGUAGUGACAAGAAAUAACGGGCCGG